rnacentral:lncRNA from 1 species
CUUCAGGGACCUGGGUAGGACGCCUUAAAAACAUGAGCACAUUUAAUCUUCACAAGAACCCCAUAAGAGAGAGAUUAUUAUUCCUAUUUUACAGGAGGGAACAAACUGAGGCUUAGAAAGGAUAGGGAAGUCGUUGAAGGUCAAGUUCAUCCAGCUAGCAAGGAGUGGAGCUGAGAAUCUCAACCCACAUCACUGACCCCAAAGCCAAAGCCACAGGCCACUUGUCUGUGCUGCCCCAGAGCUGAGCUGAGAAAGGGCCAUUCUCCCCACAGGGGAGGGCAGGCUUUGUCACAGCAGUGGAGGCCCACGAGCCCUGCCUGGGUGUCGUUGCUCAGGGACCUGCCAUUUCCCGCGGCGGCUCUGGUUUCUGCAGAGGGCCAUCAGCCCUGACCAGGAAGUGGAGCAGGAUCUUCAGACUGUGACAUCCAAUAGCCAGCUCAUUGGCCUGGGGCCAUCUCCUUCCCUCGGGGAUGUACAGUGUCUUAAAGGCAGUGAGGUGUGGUGGGAAGAACAUUGGCUUUGGAGUCUGACCAACUUGAAAUUAAAUCUCAGCUCUGCCUGAAACACUGACUGACCUUGGGUAAGUCACUUAACCUCUCUGGACUCCAUUUUCCUCAUCUCUGAAAAAAUAGUAGUAACAGCUUCUCGGCAGGGAGGUUCUGAGAAGUAAUUAUGAUAAUGUGGGCAGAGGGAUGAUAUACAAUAGGAACUCAGGAAAGGUUAGACACAUUUCUCCCUACACACCCUGUCCUUCAGCCACUUCCGGGUUUAUCUUCUUCAUCUUCAUCAUUGGCUGAAAAGCCUCAUUGGCUGGCUGCCCCUGCCUAGAUGGGGGAUUUGCAAACUUUUUCAGUAAAGGGCCGGAGAGCAAAUAUUUUAGGCUUUGCGAGCCAUACGGUGUCUGUUGCAACUAUUCAUCUCUGCUGUUGCACUGCAAAAACAGCCAUAGAUGACAUGUAAAUGAGUAAGCAUGGCUGUGUUCCAAUAAAACUUUAUUUACAGAAACAGAUUUGGCCCACAAGCUGUAGUUUGCCAACCCCUGGCCUAAAGUUUCAAGUCCAAACACACCUGCUAUCUCUCAAGGGACUGCCCCAGGCUGGUUUCACCUUGUCCAUCCAAUCAGCUCGGGGGUUUCCUCAUUACGUGAGUAGCAUACAUUCAAACCCCAGAUACCCAGGAAAACUGGCAAUAAGAAAUUUCAGGCAUUAA